rnacentral:rRNA from 1 species
UGCAGUCGACGAACUUCCGUUAAUUGAUUAUGACGUACUUGUACUGAUUGAGAUUUUAACACGAAGUGAGUGGCGAACGGGUGAGUAACACGUGGGUAACCUGCCCAGAAGUAGGGGAUAACACCUGGAAACAGAUGCUAAUACCGUAUAACAGAGAAAACCGCAUGGUUUUCUUUUAAAAGAUGGCUCUGCUAUCACUUCUGGAUGGACCCGCGGCGUAUUAGCUAGUUGGUGAGGUAAAGGCUCACCAAGGCAGUGAUACGUAGCCGACCUGAGAGGGUAAUCGGCCACAUUGGGACUGAGACACGGCCCAGACUCCUACGGGAGGCAGCAGUAGGGAAUCUUCCACAAUGGACGCAAGUCUGAUGGAGCAACGCCGCGUGAGUGAAGAAGGGUUUCGGCUCGUAAAGCUCUGUUGUUAAAGAAGAACGUGGGUAAGAGUAACUGUUUACCCAGUGACGGUAUUUAACCAGAAAGCCACGGCUAACUACGUGCCAGCAGCCGGCGGU